UGUUACUGCUAGACGACGCUGGCGGCGUGCCUAAUACAUGCAAGUCGAACGAACUCUGGUAUUGAUUGGUGCUUGCAUCAUGAUUUACAUUUGAGUGAGUGGCGAACUGGUGAGUAACACGUGGGAAACCUGCCCAGAAGCGGGGGAUAACACCUGGAAACAGAUGCUAAUACCGCAUAACAACUUGGACCGCAUGGUCCGAGUUUGAAAGAUGGCUUCGGCUAUCACUUUUGGAUGGUCCCGCGGCGUAUUAGCUAGAUGGUGGGGUAACGGCUCACCAUGGCAAUGAUACGUAGCCGACCUGAGAGGGUAAUCGGCCACAUUGGGACUGAGACACGGCCCAAACUCCUACGGGAGGCAGCAGUAGGGAAUCUUCCACAAUGGACGAAAGUCUGAUGGAGCAACGCCGCGUGAGUGAAGAAGGGUUUCGGCUCGUAAAACUCUGUUGUUAAAGAAGAACAUAUCUGAGAGUAACUGUUCAGGUAUUGACGGUAUUUAACCAGAAAGCCACGGCUAACUACGUGCCAGCAGCCGCGGUAAUACGUAGGUGGCAAGCGUUGUCCGGAUUUAUUGGGCGUAAAGCGAGCGCAGGCGGUUUUUUAAGUCUGAUGUGAAAGCCUUCGGCUCAACCCGAAGAAGUGCAUCGGAAACUGGGAAACUUGAGUGCAGAAGAGGACAGUGGAACUCCAUGUGUAGCGGUGAAAUGCGUAGAUAUAUGGAAGAACACCAGUGGCGAAGGCGGCUGUCUGGUCUGUAACUGACGCUGAGGCUCGAAAGUAUGGGUAGCAAACAGGAUUAGAUACCCUGGUAGUCCAUACCGUAAACGAUGAAUGCUAAGUGUUGGAGGGUUUCCGCCCUUCAGUGCUGCAGCUAACGCAUUAAGCAUUCCGCCUGGGGGAGUACGGCCGCAAGGCUGAAACUCAAAGGAAUUGACGGGGGCCCGCCACAAGCGGUGGAGCAUGUGGUUUAAUUCGAAGCUACGCGAAGAACCUUACCAGGUCUUGACAUACUAUGCAAAUCUAAGAGAUUAGACGUUCCCUUCGGGGACAUGGAUACAGGUGGUGCAUGGUUGUCGUCAGCUCGUGUCGUGAGAUGUUGGGUUAAGUCCCGCAACGAGCGCAACCCUUAUUAUCAGUUGCCAGCAUUAAGUUGGGCACUCUGGUGAGACUGCCGGUGACAAACCGGAGGAAGGUGGGGAUGACGUCAAAUCAUCAUGCCCCUUAUGACCUGGGCUACACACGUGCUACAAUGGAUGGUACAACGAGUUGCGAACUCGCGAGAGUAAGCUAAUCUCUUAAAGCCAUUCUCAGUUCGGAUUGUAGGCUGCAACUCGCCUACAUGAAGUCGGAAUCGCUAGUAAUCGCGGAUCAGCAUGCCGCGGUGAAUACGUUCCCGGGCCUUGUACACACCGCCCGUCACACCAUGAGAGUUUGUAACACCCAAAGUCGGUGGGGUAACCUUUUAGGAACCAGCCGCCUAAGGUGGGACAGAUGAUUAGGGGAAGUCGACAUUU
rnacentral:rRNA from 2 species